rnacentral:rRNA from 1 species
GACAGAGGUCCCAAGCGUUACUGAGAAUCACUGGGUUUAAAGGGUGCGUAGGUGGUCCGUUAAGUCAGUUGUGAAAUCCCCGGGCUCAACCCGGGAACUGCUUCUGAUACUGGCGGACUUGAGGCCAGUAGGGGUCACUAGAACUGACGGUGGAGCGGUGAAAUGCGUAGAUAUCGUCAGGAAUGCCGGUGGUGAAGACGGGUGACUGGGCUGGUUCUGACACUGAGGCACGAAAGCGUGGGGAGCGAACGGG